rnacentral:rRNA from 1 species
UACAGAGGUCUCAAGCGUUGUUCGGAUUCAUUGGGCGUAAAGGGUGCGUAGGUGGCGCCGUAAAGUCGGGUGUGAAAUUUCGGAGCUUAACUCCGAAACUGCAUUCGAUACUGCGGUGCUUGAGGACUGGGAGAGGAGACUGGAAAUUCGAUGGUGUAGCAGUGAAAUGCGUAGAGAUCAUGAGGAAGACCAGUGGCGAAGGCGGGUCUCUGGACAGUUCCUGACACUGAGGCACGAAGGCCAGGGGAGCAAACGGG